AUUGAACGCUGGCGGCAUGCCUUACACAUGCAAGUCGAACGGUAGAGGGGGCAACCCCUCGAGAGUGGCGAACGGGUGAGUAAAGCAUCGGAACGUGCCCAGUAGUGGGGGAUAGCCCGGCGAAAGCCGGAUUAAUACCGCAUGAGACCUACGGGUGAAAGGGGGGGAUCGCAAGACCUCUCGUGAUUGGAGCGGCCGAUGUCAGAUUAGGUAGUUGGGGGGGUAAAGGCCUACCAAGCCGACGAUCUGUAGCUGGUCUGAGAGGACGACCAGCCUCACUGGGACUGAGACACGGCCCAGACUCCUACGGGAGGCAGCAGUGGGGAAUUUUGGACAAUGGGCGCAAGCCUGAUCCAGCCAUGCCGCGUGCGGGAAGAAGGCCUUCGGGUUGUAAACCGCUUUUGUCAGGGAAGAAAUCCUUUGAGCUAAUACCUCGGGGGGAUGACGGUACCUGAAGAAUAAGCACCGGCUAACUACGUGCCAGCCGCCGCCGUAACAC
rnacentral:rRNA from 1 species